rfam:Oryza rufipogon genomic scaffold, chr03
UUUAAAUGCAACCAUAAGUUUUUCGUACCCAACUUUAAUUGUUCGUCUUAUUUGAAUUAUUUUUAUAAUUAGUAUUUUUAUUGCUAUAAGAUGAUAAAAUCUGAUUAGUACUUUAUGCGUGACUUAUGUUCUCGAAUUUUUUUAAAACAUUUUUAAAUAAGAUGAACGGUCAAAAUUUGGCACAGAAAAUCAUGGCAGCACUUACA